rnacentral:rRNA from 1 species
CUGGCGGCGUGCUUACAAAUGCAAGNNNNNAACGAGAAAGCCUUCUUCGGAAGGCGAGUACAGUGGCGCACGGGUGAGUAACGCGUAGAUAACCUGCCUGGAUGUCUGGGAUAACCCUCCGAAAGGGGGACUAAUACCGGAUACGCUGGUUUGUCACAAGACGAAUCAGGAAAGAUGGCCUCUGAUGUAAGCUAUCGCAUUUUGAGGGGUCUGCGUACCAUUAGCUUGUUGGUGGGGUAACGGCCUACCAAGGCGACGAUGGUUAGCGGGUCUGAGAGGAUGAUCCGUCACACUGGCACUGAAACACGGGCCGGACUCCUACGGGAGGCAGCAGUGAGGAAUAUUGCGCAAUGGGGGCAACCCUGACGCAGCGACGCCGCGUGAGUGAGGAAGGCCUUCGGGUCGUAAAGCUCUGUCAGAAGGGAAGAAGUGUUCAGCGGUUAAUACCCGUUGGAUUUGACGGUACCUUCAAAGGAAGCACCGGCUAACUCCGUGCCAGCAGCCGCGGUAAUACGGAGGGUGCAAGCGUUGUUCGGAAUCACUGGGCGUAAAGGGCGCGCAGGCGGUUUGUUAAGUCAGAUGUGAAAGCCCACGGCUCAACCGUGGAAGUGCAUUUGAAACUGGCAGACUUGAGUACCAGA